rnacentral:rRNA from 1 species
AUACGUAGGUGGCAAGCGUUGUCCGGAAUUAUUGGGCGUAAAGCGCGCGCAGGCGGUCCUUUAAGUCUGAUGUGAAAGCCCACGGCUCAACCGUGGAGGGUCAUUGGCAACUGGGGGACUUGAGUGCAGAAGAGGAAAGUGGAAUUCCAAGUGUUGCGGUGAAAUGCGUAGAGAUUUGGAGGAACACCAGUGGCGAUGGCGCCUUUCUGAUCUGUACCUGACGGUGAGGCGCGAAAGCUUGGGCAGCAAACAGGAUUAGAUACCCUGGUAGUCCACGCCGUAAACGAUGAGUGCUAAGUGUUAGUGGGUUUCCGCCCCUUAGUGCUGUAGCUAACGCAUUAAGCGCUCCGCCUGGGGAGUACGGUCGCAAGACUGAAACUCAAAUGAAUUGGCGGGG